GAUGAACGCUGGCGGUAUGCUUAACACAUGCAAGUCGAACGGACUCUUCGGAGUUAGUGGCGGACGGGUGAGUAACGCGUGAGAAUCUGGCUUUGGGCUCGGGACAACCACUGGAAACGGUGGCUAAUACCGGAUGUGCCGAGAGGUAAAAGAGAAAUUGCCUGAAGAUGAGCUCGCGUCUGAUUAGCUAGUUGGUGAGGUAAAGGCUCACCAAGGCAGCGAUCAGUAGCUGGUCUGAGAGGAUGACCAGCCACACGGGGACGGGGACCCGCCCGAGCCCCCUGGGGGGGGAAGGGGGGGGGAAUUUCCCAAAAGGGGGAAAAGCGGGAGGAAGAAACCCCGGGGGGGGAAAAAGGGCUCUUGGGUUAAAACCCUUUUUCCUGAGGGAAGAAAAAAAUGAGGUUACCUAAGAAAUAAGCACCGGCUACCUCGGUG
rnacentral:rRNA from 1 species